GAUGAACGCUGGCGGCGUGCCUAAUACAUGCAAGUCGAGCGAACAGACGAGGAGCUUGCUCCUUUGACGUUAGCGGCGGACGGGUGAGUAACACGUAGGUAACCUACCUAUAAGACUGGGAUAACUUCGGGAAACCGGAGCUAAUACCGGAUAAUAUUUCGAACCGCAUGGUUCGAUAGUGAAAGAUGGCUUUGCUAUCACUUAUAGAUGGACCUGCGCCGUAUUAGCUAGUUGGUAAGGUAACGGCGUACCAAGGCAACGAUACGUAGCCGACCUGAGAGGGUGAUCGGCCACACUGGAACGGAGACACGGUCCAGACUCCUACGAGAGGCAGCAGUAGUGAAUCAGCCGCAAUGGGCGAAAGCGUGACGGAGCAACGCCGCGUGAGUGAUGAAGGUCUACGAAUCGUAAAACUCUGUUAGUAGGGAAGAACGAACGUGUAAGUAACUGGGCACGUCUUGGCGGUACCUAAGCAGAUUGCCACGUCUAGCUACGUA
rnacentral:rRNA from 1 species